AUUGAACGCUGGCGGCAGGCCUAACACAUGCAAGUCGAACGAGUGGCGGACGGGUGAGUAAUGUCUGGGAAAAUGCCUGAUGGAGGGGGAUAACUACUGGAAACGGUAGCUAAUACCGCAUACCCUAGGAUGUGCCCAGAUGGGAUUAGCUAGUAGGGGGGGUAAAGGCUCACCUAGGCGGCGCGCCCUAGCUGGGCUGAGAGGAUGACCAGCCACAGUGGAACUGAGACACGGUCCAGAAUCCGACGUGAGGCAGCAGUGGGGAAUAUUGCACAAUGGGCGCAAGCCUGAUGCAGCCAUGCCGCGUGUAUGAAGAAGUCCUUCGGGUUGUAAAGUACUUUCAGCGGGGAGGCGUUACCCGCAGAAGAAGCACCGGCUAACUCCGUGCCAGCAGCCGCGGUAAUAC
rnacentral:rRNA from 1 species